rnacentral:rRNA from 1 species
ACGAACGCUGGCGGCGUGCUUAACACAUGCCAGUCGAACGGAAAGGCCCUGCUUUUGUGGGGUGCUCGAGUGGCGAACGGGUGAGUAACACGUGAGUAACCUGCCCUUGACUUUGGGAUAACUUCAGGAAACUGGGGCUAAUACCGGAUAGGAGCUCCUGCUGCAUGGUGGGGGUUGGAAAGUUUCGGCGGUUUGGGAUGGACUCGCGGCUUAUCAGCUUGUUGGUGGGGUAGUGGCUUACCAAGGCUUUGACGGGUAGCCGGCCUGAGAGGGUGACCGGCCACAUUGGGACUGAGAUACGGCCCAGACUCCUACGGGAGGCAGCAGUGGGGAAUAUUGCACAAUGGGCGGAAGCCUGAUGCAGCAACGCCGCGUGCGGGAUGACGGCCUUCGGGUUGUAAACCGCUUUCGCCUGUGACGAAGCGUGAGUGACGGUAAUGGGUAAAGAAGCACCGGCUAACUACGUG